UUGGAGGGCAAGUCUGGUGCCAGCAGCCGCGGUAAUUCCAGCUCCAAUAGCGUAUAUUAAAGUUGUUGCAGUUAAAAAGCUCGUAGUUGAAUUUUAGGCCUGGUUGGACGGUCUGCUCUAGGGUUUGUACUGUCCUGACUGGGUCUUACCUUCUGGUGAGCUGUCGUAUUGUUUACUCAGUGCGGCAGGGAACCAGGACUUUUACUUUGAAAAAAUUAGAGUGUUUAAAGCAGGCAUUCGCUUGAAUACAUUAGKRKYYWAUAAUAGAAUAGGACUUUGGUUCUAUUUUGUUGGUUUCUAGGACCGAAGUAAUGAUUAAUAGGGAUAGUUGGGGGCAUUAGUAUUCAAUUGUCAGAGGUGAAAUUCUUGGAUUUAUUGAAGACUAACUACUGCGAAAGCAUUUGCCAAGGAUGUUUUCAUUAAUCAAGAACGAAAGUUAGGGGAUCGAAGACGAUCAGAUACCGUCGUAGUCUUAACCAUAAACUAUGCCGACUAGGGAUCGGAUGAUGUUAAUUUUUUAAUGACUCAUUCGGCGCCUUACGGGAAAC
rnacentral:rRNA from 1 species